CGUAUGAUCUCAAGCCCUGCAAGACUGUGGGAUGCGGUCAGAGUUGAUUCCUGUGAAGCCAUGCAGCAUGUGGGUUCAGCACUUGGGCUUUGUUAUCAGAAAAACUUAAGGCCAAAUCCUAGCUGCUCUGUUCACCAGCUGUAUCUUCAAGUGUCAGCCUUGCCUUUUCUGAGCCUGUUAGCUCAUCUCUCAAGAAGGAAUGGCACUGUAGUACCUCCCUUGCCUGGUGUGUGUCCUUAAAUGGGUCACAUAGCCUCUCCUGUUUUCUCGUCUCUCAGUAGGUGGUGGUCUCUGUUCCUUCCACCUCUCAGAAAUGGGCAGCCGUGGCGGGGGGGUGGGGCAGGGCAGUGAGAAUGCUCAUGUAUGGAUCUUUGGAUGUUCCCUGUGAGUGUAAACUAUGGGUCUGUUUCUCCCUCGUAUGCUAUAAGGAGAAGCUAAGGCAAGCAUGCAUGGCCUUUGGCCUGUGUGAAAUUAGAAAGUAAAAAGAUCUCAGGCCAUGCUUCUCCCCCAGUUGCCAGGAGAGACUUCAGGAUUGUUGAUGGUAGUACAGGAAUCCAGUCUCAGUUCCAUGUUCUUAGUGCUGCUGCAGGAGUGAUUUGACUUUUCUUUGCCCCAGAGCCUACUGCUUCCAUCUCUCAUGUUUCAUUCCCACCGAUAUGCUUUCCCUAGAGUCCUGUCUAUCUCCCCCCAUACUUACCUCAGGACUGUCAUUUAUCCUCAGACAUCCCUCUGCUCCCACAAGCCCUGGGUACAAGUCAUUGAGCCUUUGGGAUUGGGUUCACUUCAGCUGCCUCUGACAGCUUUCCAGGGAGGGACUGUCCAGGGAUUGGUUUCUUGGGGGCAGAUUUGGAGCAAGAUUAGUAGGCAUGGCUGGUCUUAGUAUUUAGGUGUAUGGGAAUGUGAGGGUUCUUCUCGUGCUCUUCUUGUGUAAGUCUGUGACCCCUAGAGAGGGCCUUCCAGGGACCCAUUGGGGGAACACCAUGUGAGUACCUGAACUUUGAGUCCAGAGUCCACGGGCCUCUUCUAUUAAAGGCCCUUGGGGUUGUCACACAGCCUCAAUGUGGAGUCACGCUUUGAUAAGCCUGAGUUGUGUGCACUUGUUUCCCUUCUUGACUUGUAAUUUCAGGGUAAGGAAAGAAGAGGGGCUUUCAUUCUUUUUUUUUUUUAGACACAGUCUCACUCUGUUGCCCAGGCUGGAGUGCAGUGGCUCAAUCUGGCUCACUGUAACCUAUGCCUCCCGGGAUCAAGCGAUUCUCCUGCCUUCAGCCUCCCAAGUAGCUGGGAUUACAGGCACAUGCCACCAUGUCCAGUGAAUUUUUAUAUUUUCAGUAGAGACAGGGUUUUGCUAUGCUGGCCAAGCUAGUCUCGAACUCCUGACCUGCCUCAGCUUCCCAAAGUGCUGCAAUUACAGGCGUUGAGCCACCACGCCCGGCCAAGGCUGAGGACUUUCAACAGCUGCAGCCUGCUGCCAGAUUUCAUGGGCCUCCUUACUGUUAGGUAUAAGACUUCAUGCCUCAGCUUGCUCUUCCUGAGGAGUGGAAGCAGAGAGCUACUGGGGCAAAUUCCCUCCUGCUUAGCUACCCUCCUUCCCAGUGAUCGAAAAGAUAGUUAUUUUCACAACAGGUCAGGUCAGGCCAGGCACAGUUGCUCACGCCUGUAAUCCCAGUACUGUGGGAGGCCAAGGCAGGUGGAUCAGUUGAGUCCAGGAGUUUGAGACCAGCCUGGGCAACAGGGUAAAACCUCAUCAUGGUGGCAUGUGCCUGUAGUCCCAGCUACUUGAGGGGCUGAGGUGGGAGGAUGGCUUGAGCCUGGGAGGUUGAGGCUACAGUGAGCGCUGAUUGUGUCACUGCACUCCAGCCUGGGCAAUAGAGUGAGACCUUGUCUCAAGAAAAAAAAAAGAAAGGUUAGUGUCCCAGUAAAAGCUCCUGCUCUAGGUGGGAACAGUAGCCUGAGGGCUUAGAGGAAUGGUUUAAGGGAAAACAGGGCCAGAUAUUUGGGGCCUGAACCACAAGGAUAGCAUGGCCGUAGGACAGACACUGGCCUUGUACAGUCAGAAGCACAAGGACAGGUGGUAUGGAGGGAGGAUGAGGAUACUGGGUCCUGUCCCAGGGUAAUGUCUUUGUUCUUUCUCUUUCCCUCCCCAUAGGCUUGCAGCCCUGAGUGAUCGAGAGACUCGGCUGCAGGAGGUGCGCUCAGCCUUCUUGGCUGCGUACAGCAGCACAGUGGGGCUUCGGGCAGUAGCCCCCAGUCCUUCCGGUGCCAUCGGGGGCCUGCUGGAGCAGUUUGCCCGUGGUGUCGGACUCCGGGGCAUCAGCAGCAAUGCCUUGUGAAGAAGCCAGCCCAUGACAGUUUCCUGCUCCUCUCUCAGCUGAGCCCUUAGCAGAAUCAAAGCCAUGCCUGGCCGAAGGGGUACUUCCAGGUCAGGGGAAAUUUCAGUCCCCCAUCUCCAUCAUGUAUAUGGCAGCCCCAAAGCUGAGCAAGGCCAAAGACAGGGUUUUCUAACCCCCAGCCUCUUGACUGGUGACCACCACCCGUUCUUGUCACUGUCUCCCACCCACCCCAUCUUUGCUGGGAUUCCCAUCAACUCAGAACUGUGUGGGGUUUCCCUGGGGCCUUGUGGAAGCGAUGACUUCACAAAGACCCUACCUCUCAAUUCUUGUUUCUGGGGAGGAGGGAUCACCUGCACUGAGAAUGAGGCAGUUUGACACGGAUCACAAAAUAAAAUCAAAGUCUUUUUGAAUAGCC
rnacentral:sRNA from 1 species